rnacentral:tRNA from 1 species
GCUGACGUAGCUCAAUGGUAGAGCGUCACAGUUGUUUCCGUUUCAACGUGGAGAUAACAGUUCAACUCUGUUCGUUAGCA